UGACAACUAGCGGCAACGGACGCCGCUCCACUACUUGCAACAGGCCCUACGUGGUGGGCUAUGACGAUAGCCAUGGGUCUACCCCACUAUCUUUCACAAUCAAUUCCCCUGACCAUGGGUGGCCCACUACCAGGCGGUUACAAACGUCGCCAUCAAUCCGUUGCCUCCUCCGCUUAUAAAAGGGGGACCCAGAUACGUUAUUCUUUAAGCCCAUUUUUUCUUAUCUCAAAACUCUGCUAAAUUCUCCGCUCGAGCACUCCAUUCUUGUUGAGGCAGAAAACUGACUUGAGCGUCGGAGGGUCUUGCCGGAGCAACCCCACCUCCGGUUUAGACUUCCCUUGCAAGUCCCGACGGCGACCGCGGCUUCCCCGACUCCAGCUUCUCCGGUGCAAGCGGAUUUUUGCACCAACAAUUCCCUUGACCAAAAUGAUCAUAGGACACCUCAGAGUUCAACUGUCAACUCUGAUCAGGUUGUCUACAUUGAAGUAAAAUUUGGGUGCAGGGGUAAAACGAUAAUUUUAAAACU
rnacentral:lncRNA from 1 species